CACACCCGGACACUUAUUUGUUGGGAAACUUAAAGAAAAAAAAAUUCUUUUUAACAUUUAUUUAUUUUUGAGAGACAGAGACAGAGUAUGAGUGGGGGAGGGCAGAGAGAGAGGGAGACACAGAAUCUGAAGCAGUCUUCAGGCCCUGAGCUGUCAGCACAGAGCCUGAUGUGGGGUUGAACCCAUGAACCAUGACAUCAUGACUUGAGCUGAAGUCAGAUGCUUAACCGACCUAGCCACCCAGAUGUGUCUAUUGGGAAAUUCUUGAUUACUGAUUCACUUUUUUUGCUGGUUAUGGUCCAGCAUUUUCUGUUUCUUCCUGUUUGAGUUUUAGUAAUGUGUGCCUGUCUAGAAAUUUGUCCAUUUUGUCCAGAUUGUCUAAUUUGUUGGCAUACAAUAUUCAUAGUAUUCUCUAAUAAUGGUUUGUAUUUCUGUGGCAUUGGUUGUGAUCGCUCCUCUUUCAUUCGUGAUUUUAUCUAUUUGGGUUAGAGCUCUCUCUUUUUGAGAAGUCUGGCUAAGGGUUUAUUGGUUUUCUUUAUUCCUUAAAAAAAAACCUGCUUUUAGUUUCAUUGGUAUGUUCUAUACCGUAUUUUUUGUUUCUAUAUCAUUUAUUUCUGCUCUAAUCUUUAUUAUUCCCUUGUUCUGCUGGCUUUGGGCUUUAUUUGCUGCUCCUUUUCUACCUCCUUUAGGUGUCUUACUUCUUGAGAUAGGCCUGAAUUGCAAUAUACUUUCCUCUUUGGACUGCCAUUGCCAUAUCCCAAAGGGUUUGGACUGUCGUGUUUUCAUUUACAUUGGCUUCUAUGUAUUUUUUUUUUUAAUUUCUUCUUUAAUAUCCUGGUUAACCCGUGCAUUCUUUAGUAAGAUGUUAUUUAACCUCCAUGUAUUUGAAGGCUUUCCAAAUUUUUUCUUGUGGUUAAUUUCAAGUUUCAUAGUGUUGUAUUCUGAAAAUAUGCAUAGUAUGAUCUUGAUCUUUUUGUACCUGUUGAAGGCUGAUUUGUCACCCAAUAUGUGAUCUAUUCUGGGGAAUGUUCCAUGUGUACUCAAGAAGAAUGUGGAUUUUGCUGCUUUAGGAUGAAAUGUUCUGAAUAUAUCUGUUAAGUCCAUUUUGGUACAGUGUGUCAUUCAAAGCCAUUGUUUCCUUGUUUAUUUUCUGCUUAGAUGAUCUGUCCAUUGCUAUAAUUGAGGUAUUAAUGUCUCCUACUAUUAUGGUAUUAUUAUCAAUAAGUUUGUGCCUGUGAUUAAUUGAUUUUUAUAUUUGGGUGCUUCCACAUUGGCAUAAAUAUUUAUAAUUGUUAGUUUUUUUUUUUAAGUUUAUUUAUUUAUUUUGAGAGAAACAGACCACAAGUAGAGGAAGCCAGAGAGAGAUGGGGGCAGGGGAUCUGAAGCAGGCUCUGUGUUGAUAACAGAGAGCCUGAUGCAGUGCUCACACUCAUGAAUCAUGAGAUUAUGACCUGAGCCAAAGUCGGAUACUUAACCGACUGAGCCAUCCAGGCACCCCAAUUGUUAGAUCUCCUUGAUGGAUAGACCCCUUAAUUAUGAUAUAAUGCCCUUCUUAGUCUCUUAUUAUAGUCUUUGUUUUAAAAUCUAGUUUAUUUGAUAUAAAUAUGGCUUCUCCAGCUUUCUUUUGAGGUCCAUUAUUAUGGUAGAUGGUUCUCCAUCCCCUCACUUUCAAUCUGCAUGUGUCCUUAGGUGUAAUAUGAGUCUCUUAUAGUAAGUAUAUGGAUGGAUCUUGUUUUUUAAAUCUGUUCUGCUACCCUGUGUGUUUUGAUUGGAGCAUUUAGUCCAUUUACAUUCAGAGUGAUUAUUGAAAGAUACGAAUUUAGUGCCAUUGUGUUAACCUAUAGAAUUGGUGUUAUUGUUCUUUGGUCCAUUAUAGUCUUUGCUGUUUCCUUUUUUUUCUCCACUCAGAGAGCCCCCCCUUAGAAUUUCUUGCAGGGCUUUUUUUUUUGUGGUCACAAACUCCUUUAGUUUUUAUUUGUCUGGAAAAACCUUUUUCUCUCCUAUUCUGAAUGUCAGCCUUGCUGGAUAAAGGAUUCUUGGCUGCUUGUUUUUCCUAUUCAGCACAUUGAAUAUUUCCCUUCUAGCCUGUGUAGUUUCAAUGGACAGGUCUGCUACUAACCUUAUGUGUCUACCCUUGUAGAUUAAGGACUAUUUAUUCUUAGCUACUUUCAGAAUUCUGUGUUUAUCCUUGUAUUUUGCAAGUUUCACCAUGAUAUGUCAUGGUGUUGACUUGUUUUUAUUGAUUUUGAAGGGAGUUCUCUGUGCCUCUUGGACUUGGAUGCAUGUUACCUUCUCUAGAUAAGAGUUUUCAGCUAUAAUUUGUUCAAAUCCAUCUACUGCCCUUUUUUAUCACUCCUCUUCUUCUGGGACCCCUAUGAUACAGAUAUUGUUUUGUUUUAUAGAAUCAGUACUCUAAAUCUCUCCUCAUGAUCUAGUAACAUCCUUUUCUUCUUUUUUUCAGUUUCUUUAUUUCCCAUAAUUUUAUCUUCUAUUUCACCUAUUCUAUUCUCUGCUUUUUCAGUCCUCACUAUCACUGUAUCUAGUUUGUUUUGCAUCUCAGGUAUAGCAUUUUUAAAUUCAUCCUGACUAGUUCCUAGAUCUUGGAUCUCUGCAGAGAUCUCUGCUUUGAUCUCUGGUGUCUUCUCUGUGUUUUUCAAGGACAGCUAGUAGUCUUAUAACUGUUGUUCUAAAUUCCAUUUUAAAUAUAUUGUUUUUAUCUGUUUUGAGCAUGUCCUUGGCUGUGAUUUCUUCCUGAACUUUCUUUUGGGAAGAAUUCCUCCAUCUUGUCAUUUUGGCUAAGUUUCUGUCUGUUGCAUGUUUUAAAAGCUUGUUAUGUUUCCUGCACUUGAGAGUACUACUAUAUUAAAAAGGGGUCAUACGUUGUUCAGGGCCUGAGGGACACCUGGGUGGCUCAGUUGGUUAAGCAUCUGACUUCAACUCAGGUUACGAUCUCAUGGUUUGUGGGUUCGAGCCCUGUAUUGGGCUCUGUGCUGACAGCUCAGAGCCUGGAGCCUGCUUCGGAUUCCGUGUCUCCCUCUCUUUCUGCCCCUCUCCUGCUUACACUCCGUCUCUCUCAAAAAAUAAAUAAACAUUAAAAAAAUAAUUAACAUUGUUCAGGGCCUCACACUCCAGGAAGUGUUUCUGGUGUAUACUGUGUCCACUCUGCUGUUGUGUUUUGUCUGCUUUUUCCCACUGGUCAGUCAUUUGCAGAGCUCCUCCUUGCUUGCAGUGGUGGAGUGUUUGGACCUUUAACUACAUACACUUUGAUUUGUUUGUUGAAGUAAUCCUGGAAUAAAUCUAGAAUCAGUGGUAGGCCUGAUUCUAGAAAAAGAGAAAAAAGAACAGGAACAGAAAAAAAACCAAACAAUCAAAAAACUAUCUUGCUGAUUCCAAGGAAAAACAAAGUGGGGAAAAAAAGAGAGAGAGAGGGAAAAAGGCAGAAGCAAAGGGAAAAGAAGAAAAAAUAAAGGAAUAAAAAAGCCUGAUUAAAAAAAAGAUGAUGAAAGGAAAUGACAAAAAUAAAUCAGAAACUAUGAGCCUGAUUCCAGAAGUAAAGAAGACUGGUAAAAAGGAAAGAAAGACAAAAGCAUUAUUUAUGUCUUAGUGCCUGGGGGUGGAGGUAGCUGUGCUUGUUUGGAGGAGAGGCCAUCUGUGUUGUCUCAGUGUGAGUCUUGCCCCAGUAAAUAAGCAUUUGCAGGCACAGAGGGGCAGGGUUUGGUGUCAGCAGGUCUUGCCCACUGGGCGCUCUGUGUUGGUCUCUGAAGUCCCUCCUAUUGGUGUUGGGGAAAAAUGGUGCCACCCCAACCCCUCGUCCUCCAACUGGGGAUCUCAACCCCUGUUGUUCAGGCAGCCCUCAAGGAUUAGUGAGGGAAGCUCACCCUGCGCCAAAACUCUCUUGCAUUUUUUUCUUUGGUGCACGGCUGGGAUUCAAAACCCAAAGUUUUAAAGGACCUGGCACUUGGCACGCAGCUGGGAUUCAAAACCCAAAGUCUUAAAAGCCUGGCCUGGCACAGAGCCUCUCCUUUCCUCUGGAGUAGAGCCCCUUCACCCUGAUCAUGAAAGGCCUUUGGCUGGCACUUGCAGGGUCUUUUGUACUUAGGGAGGCAAUAAACCUUCUUCAGAAGUACUCCAGGAAGGGAACUUUCUCUCCCAGUGCGCCCUGGAGAUUGCUACACCACACUAAGGACUCUCGGGGCCAGGUCCCUCUUCCCCAGGAGCGUGCACCAUGGCUCUGCUUUGCAGAAAGUCAUAUACUUCCAAAACCUCAGGGUUUUAGCCCCAAAAGAUCCAACCACUUCACAUCUGCCAAGCUGUCUCCCUUCAACUUUGGAGAUCCUUCUAUGUCUCUACAGAUCAAUUUCCUGGGUGUUCCAAGUAAUCUGACCUCAACAUAGCUGUGUUUGAGGGAUGAGCAAUACCUGGGGUUCCCCUACUUCUCUGCCAUCUUAACUCCUCCCCAGUUCCAUUCCAGUCUUGAGAUGACCAUAGCCUUGGCCAACAGGUUGAAUACAACCUUAUGAGAAACCCUAUCGGAACCUCCAAGCUAAGCAGCUUUUGAAACCUGUCUCUCUAGAAAGUCUGUGAUUAUGAUAACUGUUAAAGUGCUAGGUUUUGAAGUGCUUUAAUAUGCAAUGGGUAAUAAUACACCAAAUCAUGAAAUAUAUAGGGAUAACUUUAAUGAAAUACAUGUUAGACCUGUAUACAACCAAGGGGAAUUGAAAAAUAAAUAAAUGGAGAUACAUGUUUUUCUUUUUCUUCUUCAUUUUCUUUUUCUUUCUUUCUUUCUUUUUUUUUUUUUUGAGAUACAUGUGUUUCUAUUGUUGAGAUGUCAGUUCUUCCCCAGUUGGAUCAAUAGUUUGAAUGCAAUUCUGAUGAAUAUCACAGCAGAUUUUUUGUAGAAAUUCAUGAGCUUAUAACUAAGAUUUAUAUAGAAAUAUAGAAUACCUAGGAUGACAAAACAAUUUUGAAAAAGAGCAGUUAAGCUGGAGAACUUAUACAAUACGAUUUCAAGACUAAAAUAAUGAUGACAUUGUUCUCUUAUUCUUAAGAUCAAGAUAUCACUAGAACCAAAUAAAAAUCCAGGAAAAGAUGUACACAUAGAAGUCAAUUGAUUUUCUGCAAAGAUGUUGAGAUAAUCCAGUGGGGUUGACUAUAGUCUUUUGAAUAAAUCACAUUGGAACAACUGGGUAUCUGUAUGUAACAAGAAGACUUUUACCUUAUAUUAUACAUAAGAUUGAACUCAAAGUGGGUCAUACAGCUUUUCAUAAAGAGGAGAACUAUUAAAUUUGUAGAAGAAAACCUGAGGAAAGUCUUUGCAGUCAGGCAAAAUCUUUUGCCAGGCAAAAGUUUCUUAGAUCGGACAUAAGAGCAUAAACUGUUAAAAAAAAAAAAAAAAAAAGAUGGAGUUCACCAAAUUGAAAAUUUCUACUUUGAAAUAGAUCUUAAGAAAGCUAAAAGCAUACCACACCCUGGGAAACAAUAUUUGUGUAAUAAUUUAUGAUACUAAUAACUGAUAAUGGAUUUGAAAACAAUAUUUUCAAAACCCCUGUAGUUAAUAGGAUCAACAGUUCAGUUAAAAAUAGCCUAAAGAUUUGAACAUGUGCUUUAAAAAAAGAAGAUCUAUGAAUGAUCCUUAGGCUAAUUAAAAUUAUCAGUUUCAUUCAUCAUUAGGGAAAUGCAAGUUAUAAUCACAAUGAGGUCAUAUUAACACCCUGUGACAUGGCUAAACUUUAAGAAGUUGACAGUACUAACUGAUGCUGAAGAUGUGGAGCAACUGGGGGUACUUAUUUACUGCAGUGUAAAAUAGUAUAAUUGUUUUGGGAAACAGUUUUGAAUAAAGGUGCGCAUGUACUUCCCAUAUGUUCCAUUAAUACCGAUCCCUGGUAUUUACCUGAGAGAAAUGAAAAUAUGUGUUCAUGGAAAUAUUUUUAUAGAUCAAUUAUUAAAAUAGUAUGCUGAGUUAAACCUUACACAAAAGAGAACAUACUGUGUUACAUUCCAUUUAUGUCAAAUUCUAGAAUAUGCAAACCAGUCUAUAUGCAUAGCAGAUAAGUGGUUUCCUUGAUCCAGGAAAGGGGUUGUAGGGGUUGUCUAAGAAAGGGUAUGAGGGAACUUUUGGGCAAUGAUGCAGAUAUUCUCUGUCUUCUUUUGGUGGUGGUUUUAUCUAAUCUUACACAACCAUAUACUUAAAAAUGCAUGGAUUCUAUAUGUAAAUUUUACCACAAUAAAAAUCACAUAUCAUGAAGCCUGACAAAAGUCACAAAUGUAUAGAAAAGACUAUUUUGCAUGGAAUUAAGAAUAUAAAAAAUAAAAAAGUGUAUGAUCAGAAUUCCUGUUUGAAAAUGAAUAGAAACAUGCAGGAAGUGCUAGAGUGUUACUUUGUUGAAGCUUGCAGGGAAGUCAGGAAGCUAUCUUUUUCUUGAAUUGGUAGAAUAUAGAUAUUUAUCAAAGUUGGUAAAUCAGUAUGGGUAAAUAAACAUGAAUGUGUGCUUUAUAGGCAACUACAAUAGUAAAAAAAUAGAAACAAGUUUAUCUUUUACAGUAGCUUAAGAAACCUUUAACAAAUGAAACCAAAAAAGAGAAAAAAAUGAGUUUGAGUGAGAUAAAUGAAAAAUAUGAAAUAAAAUACAAGAAACAAGUACUGAUACUUAUAAUUACUAAAAACAGAUUAACCUCAUCACUUAAAUUCCCAAAAUGAAUUUUUCAAGAAGUUCAAUUAAAGAUUCUUAAAAUGAUGAACAUAGAAGGGUGGACAAAGAUAGACCAUGCAAAGAUGAACAAUUGUAAUAAAGUUAGAUAGUAAUCUGAAGCUCUACACUGAUAGAACUUACAAAAUGGUUUAGUUGAGAAAGACAAAACCUGACCUCACUGGCAAGUUUUGAGAUCUGAUAAAGAAAUAUUAAAUAAGUGUAUAAAUCUAAAUAAAUAUUUACUUUAUAAAACUUAGUAGUAAAGCUUAAUUUCUUGAUUCAUGGGAAGAAAACAAGGUGAAAAUAAGUACAGGGUAACAACAUCUGAGAUGGGAAGGGGAUAGCUAGAAUCGGACCUUUCAGAAAUUCUUAUACUCUUUUUAGGGGAACCUGGUGGCUCAGUUUGGUUGAGUGUCAGACUUCAGCUCAGGUUAUGACCUCAAUGUUUGUGAGCUGGAGCCCCACAUGUGGCUUCCUGCUAGCAGCCUGUCAGUGCACAGCCUACUUUGAAGUCUCUGUCCCCUUCUUUCUGCCCCUCCCCCACUUGCAUUUUCUCAAAAGUAAGU